rnacentral:rRNA from 1 species
UUGUUGCAGUUAAAAAGCUCGUAGUUGGACCUUGGGCAGGAGGCACGGGUUGGCCGAAUGGCUCGACUCGGGUCUCCGGCCUCUAUGGGUGGUCGUGCCUUUGGUACGGUUCGCCCGGGUUACUGUGAAGAAAUUAGAGUGUUUAAAGCAGGCGAUUGCUUGGAUACAUCAGCAUGGAAUAACAAGAUAGGACCUGGUUCCACUUGUUGGUUUGGGGGCUUUGGUAAUGAUUAAUAGGGCCAGUUGGGGGCAUUAGUAUUCAGUAGUCAGAGGUGAAAUUCUUGGAUUUACUGAAGACUAACUAGUGCGAAAGCAUUUGCCAAGGAUGUUUUCAUUAAUCAAGAACGAAAGUUAGGGGAUCGAAGACGAUCAGAUACCGUCGUAGUCUUAACUAUAAACGAUGCCGACUCGGGAUCGGCAGACGUCGUUAGCGACACUGUCGGCACCGUGUGAGAAAUCAAAGUUUUUGGGUUCUGGGGGGAGUAUGGUCGCAAGGCUGAAACUUAAAGGAAUUGACGGAAGGGCACCACCAGGAGUGGAGCCUGCGGCUUAAUUUGACUCAACACGGGAAAACUCACCAGGUCGGGACAUAGUAAGGGAUUGACAGAUUGAGAGCUCUUUCUUUGAUUC